rnacentral:rRNA from 1 species
AAAAUAACCAUGAUCCCCUCAGUAACGGCGAGUGAAGCGGGAAAAGCUCAAAUUUGAAAUCUGUCAACAUUUCUUUUGUUGUCCGAGUUGUAAUUUCAAGAAGCUGCUUUGAGUGUAGACGAUCGGUCUAAGUUCCUUGGAACAGGACGUCAGAGAGGGUGAGAACCCCGUCUUUGGUCGAUUGGAUAUGCCAUAUAAAGCGCUUUCGAAGAGUCGAGUUGUUUGGGAAUGCAGCUCUAAAUGGGUGGUAAAUUUCAUCUAAAGCUAAAUAUUGGCGAGAGACCGAUAGCGAACAAGUAGAGUGAUCGAAAGAUGAAAAGAACUUUGAAAAGAGAGUUAAAUAGUACGUGAAAUUGCUGAAAGGGAAGCAUUGGAAAUCAGUCUUACCUGGGUGAGAUCAGUAGUCUCUUCGCGAGACUAUGCACUCUGAACCUGUGGUAGGUCAGCAUCAGUUUUCGGGGGCGGAAAAAGAAUAAGGGAAGGUGGCUUUCCGGGUUCUGCCUGGGGAGUGUUUAUAGCCCUUGUUGUAAUACGUCCACUGGGGACUGAGGACUGCGGCUUCGUGCCAAGGAUGCUGGCAUAAUGGUUUUCAAUGGC